AAUUUGUGUUCUGAAGAUUAACGAAGGUCUUACGGGUGUGGAACGGCACGAGGGUUAGAGCCCUGUGGACCGUACAGAUGGAAUUCCUCCAUCCAUUGUGUUACUGUGAAACAUCAACAGCAUGGGCCUCUGAUCAUAAAUCAGUAAGAGGGAUGGUGGCAGUUCCAUCGUGUGGCUCCACUCCUGCCCUGCAGCCAUGAUGGGGAGCUGCUCUCUAGUGACAUGGAGUAUUCCCAUGUGUGUGUGGAUAUGGAUCCCAGAGUAAAGGCUGCCACAGGAAACAAAAGAUGGCUUGUAUUAUUGUGACCGAGUGCCCAAAGGCUAAUUAGGCAGAAAAAAGGGAGAGAAAGCCUGCAAAUCAAUCAUGCUGAUGCUGCCUCUAAAUAAUGAAUGACAAAAUAAUGAAUUUUUAAAAA